UACCCCAGAGAGAGAACUGAAAACUGGAUAAAGAUAACCCCUACAGCAAGGGACAGUCCUGACUGAGAUGGAAGAGGCAGAAAUUCCUCUCCAGAGAGAAAAAAGCCACCUUCACAAGCCACAGAGCUUCAUAGCCAGUGGAAUGGGAGCCACCCUAAGAUUGGAGUCAUUCGUGGAACAGGCCUGGAUGAUUCAGAAAUCUUAGAAGGAAGAACCGAAAAAUAUGUGGAUACUCCGUUUGGCAAGGUUAAUCUCCAGUUAGUGGAGAGAAGCUUUUUCCUUUCUCCUUGCUGGCUUGGUUUUUAAGUUUAAAAUUUAUAAAAAAAAAAUCAUAACUGCUAUUGUGUUGGCAGCCCAGGGCUGCCUCCCCCAGGCUGAGAGGGGCCAGCAGUCCCGGCACUGGGUCCCACCAGCUGAGACAGUGGCCCUGAGGAUACCUGGGGCAUACGGUAGAGAACGUGGCUUUUGAACGUGUGCACUAACUUCUCAGCUUCUGUCCCUGGAAACCAGAUGCUCAUGCAGACACAGCAACGGUACUUUUCAGGUCUCUGCAUCCAAAUCAGCUUCUAAUUUGGGGCCCGUAUGUCACACCACACUAAUUUAGCAGAUAGACUGAUUACAGAUGGGAGGAAAUGUCAUUGCCAAGUGGGCUUUCCUUAGGAAGCCCUGCCCAAAGCGGGGUUUCUUGGGGAUCCACCACAUGAUUGCAUAACUGAACUGGAAAUAAAACUCCUCCUUUCUGUUAAAAGGAGGCUGUUUGUUCUUCCAGCCCACAUGUCACCCAGCCAGGGCGCGAGAGUCUCCCUCCUCCUGUCUGCAUAGUGCUCCUUCCAGACAUGGCAGUUCCUCUCAUCCUCCCACGAGGAUCCUGCGUCUGGCAGUCCCAACUAAACUCUCUCCUUUUCAGCCAAGUCCUUAGAUGGACCUCAUGUCCUCCAAGCCCUGCGGUCAGCUCGGCUCACUUCUUCCCCUCACGUUGUCUUCACCUCCUCGGUUCUCAGGAUCUUUCCCUCCAUGACCUCAGAUCACCGAAUGGCCAUCUCAGACCCGGGUAACAUGGCACACACUUCCGGUGCUGAGUUCCUAAGUUCCAUGACAAGGGCCUCCUGUCCUUCCCACGUUUCACUCUCACAGCUAUUCUUGAACCUGCCAGAUACCCUUGACACAUGUGUAGUUGACGAUCAUAUCAUCAGAGUGCCCUGGGGUGCUUGCUACAAAGAGCUCUUA